rnacentral:rRNA from 1 species
UACGUAGGGGGCUAGCGUUGUCCGGAAUCAUUGGGCGUAAAGAGCGUGUAGGCGGCCCGGUAAGUCCGCUGUAAAAGUCAAAGGCUCGACCUUUGAAUGUCAGUGGAUACUGCCGGGCUAGGGUCCGGAAGAGGCGAGUGGAACUCCUGGUGUAGCGGUGGAAUGCGCAGAUAUCAGGAAGAACACCAACGGCGAAGGCAGCUCGCUGGGACGGUACUGACGCUGGAGACGCGAAAGCGUGGGGAGCGAACAGG